rnacentral:rRNA from 1 species
AGAGUUUGAUCCUGGCUCAGAAUGAACGCUGGCGGCAGGCCUAAAACAUGCAAGUCGAACGCUGUAGCAAUACAGAGUGGCGCACGGGUGAGUAACAUGUGGGAAUAUGCCUUUUGGUACGGAACAACGUUUGGAAACGAACGCUAAUACCGUAUGGUCCCUUCGGGGUAAAGAUUUAUCGCCAAAAGAUUAGCCCGCACUAGAUUAGCUAGUUGGUGAGGUAAUGGCUCACCAAGACGACGAUCUAUAGCUGGUUUGAGAGGACGAUCAGCCACACUGGGACUGAGACACGGCCCAGACUCCUACGGGAGGCAGCAGUUAGGAAUAUUGGACAAUGGGCGCAAGCCUGAUCCAGCCAUGCCGCGUGAACGAUGAAGGCCUUCGGGUUGUAAAGUUCUUUAGCCGAUGAUUAUAAUGACUGUAGUCGGAAAAUAAGCCCCGGCUAACUUCGUGCCAGCAGCCGCGGUAAUACGAAGGGGGCGAGCGUUAUUCGGAAUCACUGGGCGUAAAGCGUGCGUAGGUGGUUAUGUAAGUUAGGAGUGAAAGCCCAGGGCUUAACCCUGGAAUUGCUCUUAAAACUACAUAACUGGAAUCUCGGAGAGGAUAGCGGAAUUUCCAGUGUAGCAGUGAAAUGCGUAGAUAUUGGAAGGAACACCAGUGGCGUAAGCGGCUAUCUGGACGAGUAUUGACACUGAGGCACGAAAGCGUGGGGAUCAAACAGGAUUAGAUACCCUGGUAGUCC